AAGAUGUGGAUGAGAGAAUUUCUCAUCUGAAACAUGCAUGGAAGAAAAAGGCCAGCAAACUGCAACAGACCUGCAGCUGAGGGUCCUGACUGUAAGAGGCAAAACUAACAAACAGAAAGGUCAUCCACACCAAAACCCCAUCUGUACAUGACCAUCAUCAAAGACCAAAGGUUUCUACUGAAAAGAACCAGGGAUUUGAAGAAAUGGCUGAUAUCAGUCCUAAGACAAA
rnacentral:lncRNA from 1 species